ensembl:lncRNA
GGAAGAGGAAGAGGAGGACAAGAAGGAGGAAGAGGAUGAGAAGGACAAGGAGAAGAAGGAGGAGGAGGAGGAGAAAGAAGAAGGAGAAUGGUCAUCUCUAAUGAGAUUUGGGCCGCUGUGGUAGACUAUGUGCUCAACCAUGGUUUGAGCAUGAGGGAGGCUGGCCAGAGUGUCCAACCAAAUCUCAGCCGCUUCACAGUGGCUGCCAUCAUUAGAAACUUCAGGAUGGAGAACAGGACUGAAAGUGAACCAUACCGUGGAGGAAGAACACACACUUUCACCGCCGAACAGGAGACUGAAAUUAUUGAUAAAAGAUGGCCAGACACUAC